rnacentral:rRNA from 1 species
GCGAGGUGGUGCCAAUCCUAGAAAGUUCUUCGUAGACCGGAUUGGAGUCUGCAACUCGACUCCAUGAAGUCGGAAUCGCCAGUAAUCGCGAAUCAGCAUGUCGCGGUGAAUACGUUCUCGGGUCUUGUACACACCGCCCGUCAUACCAUGGAAGUGGAUUGCACCAGAAGUAGAUAGUCUAACCUUAGGGAGGGCGUUUACCACGGUGUGCUUCAUGACUGGGGUAAAGUCGUAACAAGGUAGCCGUAGGGGAACCUGUGGCUGGAUCACCUCCUU